CUAUCGGAUCGUUUUAGAAACAUCAGUGGCCAACGGUCGUCAGGAUCGUUGAGCUGCAUUGGCGGGAUUUCGCCGUCUUCGUUUCUCUUUCUUCGCGGACGAACACGCGCUGGGCCUGCAUGGUUGCAGGAUCCCGGUCCUUAACUGGAUAUGCGUUAGGGGCUUGUAGCUCAGUUGGUUAGAGCGCGCGCUUGAUAAGCGUGAGGUCGGAAGUUCAAGUCUUCCCAGGCCCACCACACUCAUCGAGUGAGCAUUCGUCUUCUGGUUACGGGGCCAUAGCUCAGCUGGGAGAGCGCGUGCUUUGCAAGCAUGAGGUCGUCGGUUCGAUCCCGUCUGGCUCCACCAGAUGGUUUGAUCACCGACAACUCAACCGUCGUCCGCGAAACAUCACUUCGCACCCACUAGUCCGGAUGGACAGUGACGUGCGUGAUUUCUGACAUCGUAAAGAGGAGAUCGAUCCGAGUUGGAUCGUGCAGAAGAUUUCUGCGCGGUACUCCAUUAUCUCCGGAUCAUUUCGGCGCUCGUGCGUCUUCCAGGGUAGCUCACAAGGCUGCAUUGAAAGACAAGCGAGUUGUAAAUGAUCCUUUUAGCGAAGCUUGACCGCCUCGCUAUCGGAACGAUCUUACGAAGCAAGCUGGUCUUUCUAAUCAUUGUCCGGCUGUACGUAGCGUUCAUCGAGGGCGCGCGCCGCAAGGCAAUCGUACAGACAACAUUCUGCCGAGUGUGUGGACAUUGAUAAUGAGAG
rnacentral:tRNA from 18 species